rnacentral:rRNA from 1 species
AUUGAACGCUGGCGGCAGGCCUAACACAUGCAAGUCGAACGGUAACAGGAAGAAGCUUGCUUCUUUGCUGACGAGUGGCGGACGGGUGAGUAAUGUCUGGGAAACUGCCUGAUGGAGGGGGAUAACUACUGGAAACGGUAGCUAAUACCGCAUAACGUCGCAAGACCAAAGAGGGGGACCUUCGGGCCUCUUGCCAUCGGAUGUGCCCAGAUGGGAUUAGCUAGUAGGUGGGGUAACGGCUCACCUAGGCGACGAUCCCUAGCUGGUCUGAGAGGAUGACCAGCCACACUGGAACUGAGACACGGUCCAGACUCCUACGGGAGGCAGCAGUGGGGAAUAUUACACAAUGGGCGCAAGCCUGAUGCAGCCAUGCCGCGUGUAUGAAGAAGGCCUUCGGGUUGUAAAGUACUUUCAGCGGGGAGGAAGGGAGUAAAGUUAAUACCUUUGCUCAUUGACGUUACCCGCAGAAGAAGCACCGGCUAACUCCGUG